GACGAACGCUGGCGGCGUGCCUAAUACAUGCAAGUAGAACGCUGAAGGAGGAGCUUGCUUCUCUGGAUGAGUUGCGAACGGGUGAGUAACGCGUAGGUAACCUGCCUGGUAGCGGGGGAUAACUAUUGGAAACGAUAGCUAAUACCGCAUAACAGUAGAUAUCGCAUGAUAUCUACUUGAAAGGUGCAAUUGCAUCACUACCAGAUGGACCUGCGUUGUAUUAGCUAGUUGGUGAGGUAACGGCUCACCAAGGCGACGAUACAUAGCCGACCUGAGAGGGUGAUCGGCCACACUGGGACUGAGACACGGCCCAGACUCCUACGGGAGGCAGCAGUAGGGAAUCUUCGGCAAUGGACGGAAGUCUGACCGAGCAACGCCACGUGAGUGAAGAAGGUUUUCGGAUCGUAAGGCUCUGUUGUAAGAGAAGAACGAGUGUGAGAGUGGAAAGUUCACACUGUGACGGUAUCUUACCAGAAAGGGACGGCUAACUACGUG
rnacentral:rRNA from 1 species